rnacentral:tmRNA from 1 species
GGGGCUGCACUGGUUUCGACACGGGUUCGGACGCGUGGCAGGGCAUGUCGAGCUGAAUGUGCUCGUAAAAAUGAUUCAAAAAAACUAACUGCAAACGAUAACUCGUUCAAGCAAUCACUCGCAGCUUAACUGCUAGUGGCCCUCACAACAGCAAGCCGACAGGCUGGGUAAGCGCACCGCAAGGUGCGCGAGCUGUGGGGUAAAUUCAAUCGGCUGGUUCCGGAUCGUGUACCUUGGUCCGGAACGAGACAAUAGGGUGCUGGCGUCCUGUGUAGCGUGCGACUGCGCGACACAGGAAGUGAGAUUUAAAACAGAUCGCUAAACAUGUAGAACUGUACGAAAAAGGCUUGUGGACGGGGGUUCAAAUCCCCCCAGCUCCACCA